rnacentral:lncRNA from 10 species
GGGACCCGUUGAAGGAACUACCUGGGUUCCGUUAGGGCGGGCUGGGAAGAAAGAUAUGAUGGAAAGACGCGGGGAGACGUCUCAGUGGUCUACUAUGGUUGCUCCUGGGCUGGCGAAGAUCAGGACCUAUUCUUACUAUCCAUCGACUGAUUUCGUCCAUCGCUACCCAUCUCCUGCCCAUCUGUAACCAUCUUUCUUGCUCUGAAAAUAAUACGCUACAGUACUUUCAAAAUACUCCAUAGGAAACAGAGGGGAUUUUUCCAGUCCAGCUUCCACAAGAAACCUACCAGGGAACUUGUUUCAGGGUGUGAGAAUGGAGAAGGA